UUUGAAAAUUACGUUUUUUUUUGCUAGCCUUCAAAAUGGAACAUAUUUAGGCUUAUGUGUAGGCUUUAAUAGAAUAAGAUUCUAAUGGGAAUAUUAAUGUUUCAGCUGUAGAAUAUGGAUAUAAAUAAUGAUUGGGGCAACUUCAAAACUACUUUGUCAACUAUACAGAGAUUCAGGGGAAUGAAAUCUUAGACUAUUUAUAAUUAAGAUGUUCCUUCAGAGUUGAAAACAACUACAUUCUAGCUUGAACGUCCCACAAGAAGAUGUGGGGUGGCAGCAGGCAGGGGUCUAACCUAGGAUCAUGGAGACCACCAAACAAUAGUCCAGAGUGUAUAUGAUUGAUUGAGUAGACAAAGAAGGGAUGGAUUACUGGAGCUAAAAGAAGGCAUAAUUUUAACAAUAGACUACUUUGGGAUAUGGAAUGAGAGAGGCUAUAGUGUUGAUUAUAUAAAUAUGUAGGUCUCAGCUGGGGCUGCACAGCCACGGGAAAUACUGCAUUCCUAACUUAUCUUGGGACUUAUUAUAAAGCUGCCAUUAUCCAAGGACAUAUGAUUCUCUGGAGGCUUACAUCACUGGAAAAAGUCUUUGGGCCCCUGAAGAUUACAGUACAUGUAAUGCUGCAAAAGGAGGAGGAUGCUGGGCCAGGCACAUACAACUCAAUUUACUUCUAUUGGCUGGAAAUAUUUAAAGCAUGACAGUGGCGUAGGUAAAUUACCAAAUAGUGGAUCUUAUGUUGGAUUGAUCAGCCCUGAUGAACUGACCUGACCAUUGUAAUUGAAACCAUAACUCAUGACCACUCUAUCUGUAUAGGUCCUGGUAUACCCUGGGAUGAUGUUCACCCACAACUUUUAACUUGAAAUCUUAAAGGAAGUUUUGCUAAACUAACAAGCAUGAAUGUCUGGUACAGUAAGAUAGGGUUAAUGGUCAACCUGACAUUAUGGUUUAUUCAUUGGGACAGCUAAUGUUUGUGUCUGACCAAGCAGUUCUCAAGUUGGGGCUUGAUGAAGUCUACAAACUGACCAUUAUAUCUACUGGACAAAAAAGGAUCUUAUUCUGACCCCCUCCCUCCCAACCAUUUCCUCUGCCUUAUCUUGAUGACUUUGACUUUAAUUAGACAUUAAGCUUUCCAUGUGCUGAAAUUUAGCAUUGUAGAACGGGAAAGAAAUUGUCUAUGACAGUUCAAAGUGUGUAUACAUUUUUUUGACGCACCAUGUAUCUAUAUUGUAUUCAGUGAUUUUUUUAUUUUACCAUUUUCUAAUAUUAGUUUGUUAGCUCAAUAACUAUUAACCUUUUAGAUCAGGGGCGGGCAACCUUUUUGUAUCGAGGGCCGCAUUUUAAAAAAUAUUGCGAAUGGCGGGCCGCAUAUGUAUAUACAACUUAGAGAGAUACUAUAGCUAACUGUGUAGAAUGUCUUCUAAUUCAUAUUUACACUGUAAUAUAUUCAUGUUUCGUUUUUCUCACACUCCACGUUAAGGAAUUACAACAAGAGUUAGCAAUGUUUGAAAUCAAUUUUACGAUUUUUUUUUAAAUUGCUUUUGUCUUUUUAUAUUACAACAUCCCCUCAAGUAUACAGUUGUACUUAAUGUGCAGUAUUCUACUUUUUACACUCGUGCAUAUUGUUCUGGAACUGAGGAACUAGCUUACUAGUUGUUACCCUUGUGACUGCUGUCAAAUUAAAGUCAGUCAAAAUCGACCAGUAAUUACACUGUUUUAGUUUCCAUAAAAAAACUAAAUGCUCGUUCACUGAAUCAGGCAAUAUAUGUUCUGGUAGUUAAAUGCUGGGAAGAGUGAAACUUGCCCUUGUGAAGCAAGAUAUAAGAUUUCAGAUAUAAGAUUACUGAUCUGAACCCUCCAACAUGUAAAAUGAGAACGAAGAAGAAGAACUGAUGUAUGUGUGCACAAAUAGUGUGAACAGCAGCUCAUUUUUUUAAGUGUUGACAUACAGCUUCUGGCACCCAUAAGACUCCUGUGGUAGAACUGAGUGGAGCUUCUUUUUGCUUGGAGUUAUGUCCUCUGUAGCUGAAUCAGCUUCUGCGCUAAAUGGUGAGUUGAUGGUAUUGAAAACUGGUUCUUAACGUCUUAAAAUUUGCUUUUAUAAAUUGCACAAAAAAAGGGAUCUAAAUAAGUGUAAUAAUUUCACUAGAAAUAGUUUUACUCAUCAGCAAAGAAAAUGACAAGACCUGUUUUCUUUUGCUUGCUUGUAGAAAUGAGAAAGCCUUUUUGAAAAGAUUUAACAUGCAUUUACAUUUCAUAUGCAAAAAAAAAACAACCUUUGCCGUAGCAAUUAUGAAACAAAUGAAAUCUUUUUUCCACUCUUCAUUAGAAAUAUUGGUAACAAAUUCACAGUCAAUGUCCUUCAAGUAACAUAACAAUUUCUUCCUUGAGAUUUUAUAUUCUUCUCAUUUGCCUUGCCCAUGCUAAGUUAGACAACAGUGGAUUACUGUGUUCCUUAAUUGGAACUACCUGUGGUUAACACCACCUAGCUCUAAUAAGUUCCAUUACUACGGCAUAGUGCAAUAUUGUAUGUUGAAACAUUAUGCAGCUUUGUCCAAACUUUCCUGUUUAGAGUUUAUGGUUAGGAUAUUUUUUAUUAAAAAAAAAUAAAAAUAUUUUACUCAGUCAAAGAUCGAGCUCCAUCAGUUGUUACACUUGCCAUCUUGUUCCAAGCAUACCCAACAUUCAACACAGUUCUUCAUAGCAUUAAAUAAAUACUGAUCAGAGAUUGUAUCUUGAAUCGAGUGUAUUGAUGUAUAGCCAAAAAGAAAAUCUUUGUUUGCUUGAAACUUUUUAUAAUAGACAGUUUCAAUAAUUUAUAUAGGUAUUAUUUUAAAUAUAUUUGGAUUUUUAUAUGUAUAUACUGUGGGUACACCUGAUGUCUGUAGGUGUCGGCGGGCCGCAUAAAACACUCCGGCGGGCCGCAUGUGGCCCGCGAUCCGUAAUGUGCCCACCCCUGUUUUAGAUUGUUAUCUUUCGUAAUGUUAAGACUAGAAAACAAGAUCUCAAAAUUAUAUUUAGGACGAUGAUUACAAUUACUUAGUCAAUUACUUAGAUAAAAUAAUUAUAAAACAAAAGUUAUAUAAAGACAUAAUUAUACAAUGUUUAUGUUUUGUAUGUUCAUAAAAAUGUGUAUAGCAGUAUUAUGGAGUGUGUGUGUGGGUGUUUCCAAGGUAAUGUUGAGAAAUUAGCGAUUGGUUGGUGGAUAUGCAGUGAGGAUGGUGAAAUUACAAAAAUGGUCUAGUGUAAUGCAAAUUACCCAGGGAUCUGAAACUGUACAGACAGGUUUUUUGUAGUGAGUUAGAUUUUGUUUAAAAUACCAUUUUAUAUUAUUGCUACUAGAUUUAUUUCAUUUCAUCUAGGUUAGUAUUAGGGUUAGUGUUAUGUUGUAAUAAAAGUUAUAAUUAGUUUUGUUUCAAAAAAGAAGUUUUUUCAAGGUUCACAAUUAAAUAUAUUUAUAUAUCCAAGCAGUAGUUCUCACCAAACUUUCAUACACUGGCAGAACUACCUUAAAAAAAUGUUCUGCUGGAGGCUGGUGUGAGUAGUAUAGAAGAAAUACUUAUUCAACAGCUGUGAUGGGUUGGAAAAUUAUCCCACAUGGGGGGGCGACUGCAUGCCAAAUGGUAUCUUCAAGGAUGGCGUAACGGGGUACUCCUGUAAGCACUAUAAAGAUUAACUCAGGCACCUUUUUGCCAUAGAGGAAAGUAGGUUGUAAUAGGGUUUAUGAAAACACUGCACUCAUCCUUUAUCUUCAGCAUCAUUAUUAUUAUUAAACCAUUACUCAAAUUUUGCUUUGUUAUUUUGCCAUGUAGCGAUUUACUGCUGCUGGGGUGAACAAUGCUUAAAAAAAUACAAAUAUGCUGUGUUUUUACUUUG